CUGGUUCAUUGUCUUUAUACGUUGGUUAUUACCAACAUUUAAGUCUAUAUAUUCAAUCAUAUUGAAUAAAAUAACGAACAAAACUAACAAAUGAAACUAUAUACAGUUACAUAAAUGGUUCCUGUUACGUAAUUUGUUUUUUCUAAAAAUCAAUUUUAAUUAUGUAAACUCCUCUCCUAUAUGAAAGAAUACAAGCUAAGUACCAACAGUAGUUGUUGUUGCUCUAAAACAUAUACAAAAGUAUAAAUAGAGCAUAUUUACACAC